rnacentral:hammerhead_ribozyme from 1 species
AUCCAGUUGAUGAGUCGCAAACGGGACGAAACGCACGUCCUAGAU